UACAGAGGGUGCGAGCGUUGUCCGGAAUCACUGGGCGUAAAGGGCGCGUAGGUGGCGUCGCAAGUCGAUGGUGAAAGCUCGUCGCUCAACGACGAGUCGGCCAUUGAUACUGCGAGGCUGGAGCACUGUAGAGGCAGAUGGAAUUCCGGGUGUAGCGGUGGAAUGCGUAGAGAUCCGGAAGAACACCGGUGGCGAAGGCGGUCUGCUGGGCAGUUGCUGACACUGGAGGCGCGACGAGCGUGGGGAGCGAACAGGAUUGAGAUACCCCGGUAGC
rnacentral:rRNA from 1 species